rnacentral:rRNA from 1 species
UACGUAUGGUGCAAGCGUUAUCCGGAUUUACUGGGUGUAAAGGGAGCGCAGGCGGCGCGUUAAGCCUGGUGUGAAAGCCCGCGGCCCAACCGCGGGACUGCAUUGGGAACUGGCGCGCUGGAGUGCCGGAGGGGUAGGCGGAAUUCCUAGUGUAGCGGUGAAAUGCGUAGAUCUUAGGAGGAACACCAGUGGCGAAGGCGGCCUACUGGACGGUGACUGACGCUGAGGCUCGAAAGCGUGGGGAGCAAACAGG